rnacentral:rRNA from 1 species
UACGUAGGGGGCAAGCGUUGUCCGGAAUCAUUGGGCGUAAAGCGCGCGUAGGCGGCUCGAUAAGUCUGCUGUGAAAGUCCAGGGCUCAACCCUGGAAGGCCGGUGGAAACUGUCGGGCUAGAGUCCGGAAGAGGCGAGUGGAAUUCCCGGUGUAGCGGUGAAAUGCGCAGAUAUCGGGAGGAACACCAGUAGCGAAGGCGGUUAGCUGGAGCGGUGCUGACGCUAAUGCGCGAAAGCGGGGGGAGCGAUCCGG